CGGCAGACGGGUGAGUAACGCGUGGGAACGUACCUUUUGGUUCGGAACAACCCAGGGAAACUUGGGCUAAUACCGGAUAAGCCCUUACGGGGAAAGAUUUAUCGCCGAAAGAUCGGCCCGCGUCUGAUUAGCUAGUUGGUGAGGUAAUGGCUCACCAAGGCGACGAUCAGUAGCUGGUCUGAGAGGAUGAUCAGCCACAUUGGGACUGAGACACGGCCCAAACUCCUACGGGAGGCAGCAGUGGGGAAUAUUGGACAAUGGGCGCAAGCCUGAUCCAGCC
rnacentral:rRNA from 1 species